rnacentral:rRNA from 1 species
AGUGAACGCUGGCGGUAGGCCUAACACAUGCAAGUCGAACGGCAGCACAGUAAGAGCUUGCUCUUACGGGUGGCGAGUGGCGGACGGGUGAGGAGUACAUCGGAAUCUACUUUUUCGUGGGGGAUAACGUAGGGAAACUUACGCUAAUACCGCAUACGACCUACGGGUGAAAGCAGGGGAUCUUCGGACCUUGCGCGAUUGAAUGAGCCGAUGUCGGAUUAGCUAGUUGGCGGGGUAAAGGCCUACCAAGGCGACGAUCCGUAGCUGGUCUGAGAGGAUGAUCAGCCACACUGGAACUGAGACACGGUCCAGACUCCUACGGGAGGCAGCAGUGGGGAAUAUUGGACAAAGGGCGCAAGCCUGAUCCAGCCAUACCGCGUGGGUGAAGAAGGCCUUCGGGUUGUAAAGCCCUUUUGUUGGGAAAGAAAAGCAGCAGGUUAAUACCCCGCUGUUCUGACGGUACCCAAAGAAUAAGCACCGGCUAACUUCGUG